rnacentral:rRNA from 1 species
UACAGAGGGCAGCUACCCAGCAAUGGGAUGCGAAUCUCGAAAGCCUGUCUCAGUUCGGAUUGGAGGCUGAAACCCGCCUCCAUGAAGUUGGACUCGCUAGUAAUCGCGCAUCAGCCAUGGCGCGGUGAAUACGUUCCCGGGCCUUGUACACACCGCCCGUCAAGCCAUGGGAGCCGGGGGUGCCUGAAGUUCGUGACCGCAAGGAGCGACCUAGGGCAAAACUGGUGACUGGGGCUAAGUCGUAACAAGGUACC